rnacentral:rRNA from 1 species
UACGUAGGGGGCAAGCGUUGUCCGGAAUCAUUGGGCGUAAAGCGCGUGUAGGCGGCUGAGUAAGUCCGCUCUGAAAGCCCGGGGCUCAACCCCGGGAGGCGGGUGGAUACUGCUCAGCUCGAGUCCGGAAGAGGAGUGUGGAAUUCCUGGUGUAGCGGUGAAAUGCGCAGAUAUCAGGAGGAACACCGAUGGCGAAGGCAGCACUCUGGGACGGUACUGACGCUGAGACGCGAAAGCGUGGGGAGCAAACAGG